rnacentral:rRNA from 1 species
UACGUAGGGUCCGAGCGUUGUCCGGAGUUACUGGGCGUAAAGCGCGCGCAGGCGGCGGUGCUGGCCCGGCGUGAAAGCCCCCGGCUCAACCGGGGAGGGUCGUCGGGGACCGCACCGCUUGAGGGCGGUAGGGGCUGGUGGAAUGCCUGGUGUAGUGGUGAAAUGCGUAGAGAUCAGGCGGAACACCCGUGGCGAAGGCGGCCAGCUGGGCCGUCCCUGACGCUGAGGCGCGAAGGCGUGGGGAGCGAACAGG